GACGAACGCUGGCGGCGUGCCUAAUACAUGCAAGUCGAACGCAUUUUCUUUCACCGUAGCUUGCUACACCGAAAGAAAAUGAGUGGCGAACGGGUGAGUAACACGUGGGUAACCUGCCCAUCAGCGGGGGAUAACACUUGGAAACAGGUGCUAAUACCGCAUAAUUCCAUUUACCGCAUGGUAGAUGGAUGAAAGGCGCUUUUGCGUCACUGAUGGAUGGACCCGCGGUGCAUUAGCUAGUUGGUGGGGUAACGGCCUACCAAGGCUGCGAUGCAUAGCCGACCUGAGAGGGUGAUCGGCCACACUGGGACUGAGACACGGCCCAGACUCCUACGGGGGGCAGCAGUAGGGAAUCUUCGGCAAUGGACGCAAGUCUGACCGAGCAACGCCGCGUGAGUGAAGAAGGUUUUCGGAUCGUAAAACUCUGUUGUUAGAGAAGAACAAGGAUGAGAGUGGAAAGUUCAUCCCUUGACGGUAGCUAACCAGAAAGCCACGGCUAACUACGUG
rnacentral:rRNA from 1 species